rnacentral:rRNA from 1 species
GGGCCCGCACAAGCGGUGGAGCAUGUGGUUUAAUUCGACGCAACGCGCAGAACCUUACCAGGGUUUGACAUCCCGUGCCACGCUCAGAGAUGGGCGGUCCCCGCAAGGGGCGCGGAGACAGGUGCUGCAUGGCUGUCGUCAGCUCGUGUCGUGAGAUGUUGGGUUAAGUCCCGCAACGAGCGCAACCCUCGCCUUUAGUUGCCAUCAUUCAGUUGGGCACUCUAGAGGGACCGCCGGCGGCAAGCCGGAGGAAGGUGGGGAUGACGUCAAGUCCUCAUGGCCCUUACACCCUGGGCUACACACGUGCUACAAUGGCGGUGACAGUGGGCAGCUAACCCGCGAGGGCAAGCUAAUCCCAAAAAGCCGUCCCAGUUCAGAUUGCACUCUGCAACUCGGGUGCAUGAAGGUGGAAUCGCUAGUAAUCGCAGAACAGCAGGCUGCGGUGAAUACGUUCCCGGGCCUU